rnacentral:rRNA from 1 species
UCAGGCCUAACACAUGCAAGUCGAACGGUAACAGCGGAGCUUGCUCCGGCUGACGAGUGGCGGACGGGUGAGUAACGCGUAGGAAUCUACCCAGUAGCGGGGGAUAGCCCGGGGAAACCCGGAUUAAUACCGCAUACGCCCUACGGGGGAAAGGGGGCCUCUUCAUGAAAGCUCUCACUAUUGGAGGAGCCUGCGUUGGAUUAGCUAGUUGGUGGGGUAAAAGCCUACCAAGGCGACGAUCCAUAGCUGGUCUGAGAGGACGAUCAGCCACACUGGAACUGAGACACGGUCCAGACUCCUACGGGAGGCAGCAGUUAGGAAUAUUGUGCAAUGGGGGAAACCCUGACACAGCCAUGCCGCGUGUGUGAAGAAGGCCCUAGGGUUGUAAAGCACUUUCAGUAGGGAGGAAUUAGCAAGGCUAAUACUCUUGUGAAAUGACGUUACCUACAGAAGAAGAUCCGGCUAACUCCGUGCCAGCAGCCGCGGUAAUACGGAGGGAUCGAACGUUAAUCGGAAUUACUGGGCGUAAAGCGCGCGUAGGCGGCUUGUUAAGUGGGAUGUGAAAGCCCCGGGCUCAACCUGGGAACUGCAUUCCAAACUGACAGACUUGAGUACGAUAGAGGGGGGUAGAAUUCAGAGUGUAGCGGUGAAAUGCGUAGAUAUUCUGAGGAAUACCGGUGGCGAAGGCGGCCCCCUGGAU